rnacentral:ribozyme from 12 species
UAUUUAAAAGAAGCGAAAGCGAAUAAAGAAUUCAUGAUUCAUCGAUGGUUUUGGAGUUUCCUUUUUUUGAAUUCGAUUUGUAGUUGGUUUCGUUUUUUUUUUUUUUUUUUUCUU